rnacentral:rRNA from 1 species
UACGUAGGUGGCAAGCGUUAUCCGGAAUUAUUGGGCGUAAAGCGCACGUAGGCGGACAUUUAAGUCAGGGGUGAAAUCCCAGAGCUCAACUCUGGAACUGCCUUUGAUACUGGGUGUCUUGAGUAUGGAAGAGGUGAGUGGAAUUCCGAGUGUAGAGGUGAAAUUCGUAGAUAUUCGGAGGAACACCAGUGGCGAAGGCGGCUCACUGGUCCAUUACUGACGCUGAGGUGCGAAAGCGUGGGGAGCAAACAGG